UCAUGGGGGAAGUGGAGAGACGGGAUCUGGAACUGGUUUUGCAACAGUCAACUAUAGUGUUCCACAGAUGGGUAUUCAGAGGGGACAGAUGCAGUUGGCGGGUGGUUUCCCUAUGAUGAACAAUACUAACUUUCCCCAGUUGGUACCAGUUGGAAUGGGCUUGGGUCAGUUUGGGUUUUGUGCCACAGGAGCAAAUGGCACAACAGUACCAAUAUCUGCUCUCCAACAUGCCAAAACAAGAGACUUUGAAAAUGCAGGGACUACAGAAGGAGGAAGGGGAGAAAGGGCCAACAAAGAAGAAAGAUACGGGGAAUAAUACCAAGGAAAUGUUUUGUGUCAAAUGUAAAGAGCAGGGACACUUAAAGAGCGAAUGCAAAAACAAACUGUUUUGUGUGGUGUGCCAGAGGGCAUCACACAAUACUAAAGAUUGCACAGUGCUGAAACAAGCUAAACCUGUGGCCAAAUAUGUGGGAUAUGGAGCUAGGGGAUUAGGUUGCCUUCUGGUUCAAAACACCAAAGACAUUGUAGCUGCUGAACAUAUAAACCCUAUGGCUUUGGUGACUAUUCACUCUGGACAGUUGAAUGAAACUACAGUUGCUUUUAGAUUCUCUAAGAUGUUUGAAUGGGGAUGGACCUGGAGAGCUAAAUUUCAAAGCCCUGCAACUUUUCUGAUGAGAUUUCCCAAUAAAUCCAAAUUAGUGGAACUAAAAAACUUUGGAAAAUUAACUCUUCUAGGGACAGGGGCAAUGGUGGAAGUUGAUUUCUGGAGCCCGGAUGAUAAAGCCAAAGGGAAGCUACAUUCUGUGUGGAUAAAAAUGUGGGGAGUGCCUGACAACCUGAGACAUUACUUGGGAAUAUGUGAGAUUGGGUCUGCUCUGGGACCAGUGGUUGAGGUGGAUAUUGAACAUAUACACUCUAGAGAAGAGAUCAAAGUGAAGGUUGGGGUGAGAGACAUACACAAGAUACCAGCAGGGACUGAGAUAACCACCAAAGAUUUACUCUUGUAUGAUAUACACUUUGAGUUUGACUCAGUUGCAGAACAAGGGUGGUACAAAUUUGAGGAGGGAAACAAGAGGAAGAAGUUUGAAUAUCUGGAGUUAGAACACUUUGAGACACAAAGAGAGAAUGACAUGCAGAAGAAGAGCAAACAAACAAACACUGGAAAAACAAAUGUAAGUUUGGGGAGCCUGGGUCUGAAAUAGUAUGAACAGGUAGUUCUGAAACCUGGGGGGAGUGGCCAAACCAAUGAUACUCUUGAAGAGAAUAAAAAGGCAGAGAGAUCUGCAGAGAUGCAAGGGAGAGAGGAGGAUCUGUUGUUCAGGUUGCAAAGAGCAGAUGAAUUGGCUGCUAGACAGUCUGCACAGCUGAUGUUGGAGAAAAAAAAAGAGAAAAGAAAUGGAGAUCAUUAGGAAAACCCUUGAAAAUGAGGUGAAAAGACAGCAUGAGUUGCUCCAGAUUAAUCUUAAAGGAGGUGAAGAAAUAAAAGGGUCACAAUAUGGAGAUAAAAACACUGCCGAGGGAGAGGAAGUGGAGAAUCUUGAUGAAGAUAUGGGGACUGAGGACAAACAAGAGGAAGAAGGAGAGAUGACAGACCAGGAGCUGAUGGCUCAAGCCAUUGGAUUGGGCUAUGUGGAGCCAGUGGAUUAUACAGCCAGUCAAGAGACAGAUUCUUUUGAGACCAAAAUUUUGAAAGCUGGGAAAGGAGAUGCUGAUCUUAAAGAUGAAGAGGAGGAAUUGAGGAGAUGCAUUAGGUUAAAAGGGAAAGAAGAUCGCAAGAUUUCAGAGCUGGCGAAAGAAAGGGCAGCAAAGAAGGAUAACUAUGAAAAACCCCGUAAGAAAUAAAAUGAUGGAGGCUGGACUAAAGCAGAUCGGUGUGGUGGUUGAAGAAGUGUUUCAAGCAGCUCAUGGGUGGCGACUGGCGACUAGAAGGAUCAUGGGGUGAAAAGCUUCAAGGGUCUUCUGGAUUCGGUGACGCUGCGAAGAACUCUACUGCCUCAAUCCUUCCCACUGUUUUUUCUGCUUUUGUCUUUGUCCUUCAAAGAAGACUAGUGUGUUGAGACUAUUUCCGUUAUCGUUGUUUAGCUGCUGUUCUAAAGACUUUUUAAACUCUGUAAUGCUGGUGCUGGGACCGGUUUUGAGCCCAGGCCUUAGGUCUCCCCCUUGGGAAGCUCUGUACUUUUUGAGGACCUGUGGGCAGGGCAAGGGAUGGCUUCCCUCCUACCUCAAAGCAGUGCUGACAGGGGCCAGG